rnacentral:rRNA from 1 species
AUUGAACGCUGGCGGCAGGCCUAACACAUGCAAGUCGAGCGAGCGGCGGACGGGUGAGUAAUGUAUGGGGACUGCCCGAUAGAGGGGGAUAACUACUGGAAACGGUGGCUAAUAACGCAUACCAUCGGGUAAGCCGUAUGGGAGUAGCUAGUAGGUGGGGUAAAGGCACACCUAGGCGACGAUCUGUAGCGGGGCUGCGAGGAUGAUCAGCCAAACGGGGACUGAGACACGGCCCAGACUCCUACGGAGGCAGCAGUGGGGAAUAUUGGACAAUGGGCGCAAGCCUGAUGCAGCCAUGCCGCGUGUAUGAAGAAGGCCUUAGGGUUGUAAAGUACUUUCAGCGGGGAGGCGUUACCCACAGAAGAAGCACCGGCUAACUCCGUGCCAGCAGCCGCGGUAAUAC